GUCGAUAUUGGCAUUGUCACCUCCAUCGAAUCGAAUCACAAACAAUUGGAAACGGCCCGCAAAGGUCAGGAGAUUUGUGUCAAAAUCGAACCCAUACCGGUGAAUCACCCAAAAUGUUUGGCCGUCAUUUUGAAGCUGAUGAUAUGUUGGUUAGCAAGAUUUCCCGUCAAAGUAUCGAUGCUUGCAAGGAUUACUUCCGUGAUGAUUUAAUUAAGGCUGAUUGGGCUCUAAUGGUUGAACUGAAGAAACUUUUCCAAAUUUUAUAAAUUGUUUAUAGAAUCGAUUGCAAUAUACAAACAUAUAUUUAUUUCCUGAUGAUGAUGCUGAUGAUGAAAAACUGACCCACGGAGACAGACAAAUAAACAAGAAGAAGAAGAACAUCAACAAUGCUUUCGUAAUUUUAAUAUUUAUACUUUUUUUGCGCCUGGAUUAUUUAAUUUGCCAAAAAAUCAGAAGGUCCUGGCCCUUGUCGCCUUAAAAAAAACAACUAUGGAUGAAGAUGACAAGCCAACUGCUGGCUGCCAGGAUUCGUGCAAACAAUUAUAAGUUUCCUUUUUUAUAAAAAAAAAUUUCUUCCAAAAAACUCAACACAAACAAACACACACAAAUCAUAAAUUGA